CCUGGAGAGCUGCUGCCAGUCAGUGUAGACAAUUCUGCCCCAGCAUCCUUGAACCACAGCUGUCUUUGGCUCCCAGCAUCAAAGAGCUGAGCAAGUUGAAAAGCACAGAUCCCAUGGGGCUGAACUCUGAGGAACUUCACGUCCUGCAUCUAUUGGGGAAACUGUCCAUUCAUUUAUAACCUUUGCAUCCUGUUCGUUAACCAGCAACUGACCUCUCCUCAUGCCCCCUGAUGGCUAAGCUUACUCUGGAGUCUUGGGUGAGGGACUUUGUCAAAAGUGUUUUGCAGUCUAAGUGCAUCAGGUCAACUGUAUCCUAUCCGAGUUAAAUCAUUGGCAAUUUGCUUUUAUUAUUAAAGAUUUUCUUGAUUUACAAAA